UACGUAGGAGGCAAGCGUUGUCCGGAAUUACUGGGCGUAAAGCGCGUGUAGGUGGUGGGACAAGUCUGCUGUGAAAGCGCCUGGCUUAACCGGGCGAGGUCGGCGGAAACUGUCCGACUCGAGGACGGUAGAGGGGGGUGGAAUUCCCGGUGUAGUGGUGAAAUGCGUAGAGAUCGGGAGGAACACCUGUGGCGAAGGCGGGUCGUCUGGGCCGAGUACUGACGCUGAGGAGCGAAAGCGUGGGGAGCGAACGAG
rnacentral:rRNA from 1 species